rnacentral:rRNA from 1 species
AGUGAACGCUGGCGGCGUGCCUAAUACAUGCAAGUCGAACGGAGUGGCGCACGGGUGAGUAAUAUAUAGCUAAUCUGCCCCUUGCUGGAGGACAACAGUUAGAAAUGACUGCUAAUACUCCAUAGCAAGGGAUGAGCUUAUAACGUAUCAGCUAGUCGGUGGGGUAAAGGCCUACCGAGGCUAUGACGCGUAACUGGUCUGAGAGGAUGAGCAGUCACAUGCGAACUGAGACACGGGCCAAACGCCUACGGGAGGCAGCAGGAGGGAAGAUUGCGCAAUGGGGGAAACCCGGACGAAGCAACGCCGCGUGGAGGAUGACACGUUUCGGAGCGUAAACUCCUUUUGUUAGGGAAGCGGUACCUAACGAAUAAGCACCGGCUAACUCCGUGCCAGCAGCCGCGGUAAUUC